CCUAUACAUGCAAGUCGGGCGAAGAAGCUCCUCCGGGAGUGGAUUAGCGGCGGACGGGUGAGUAACACGUGGGCAACCUGCCUCAAAGAGGGGGAUAGCCUCCCGAAAGGGAGAUUAAUACCGCAUAAAAGGUAAAUAUCGCAUGAUAAAUACCUUAAAGGAGAAAUCCGCUUUGAGAUGGACCCGCGGCGCAUUAGCUAGUUGGUAGGGUAACGGCCUACCAAGGCAACGAUGCGUAGCCGACCUGAGAGGGUGAUCGGCCACAUUGGAACUGAGAGACGGUCCAGACUCCUACGGGAGGCAGCAGUGGGGAAUAUUGCACAAUGGGCGAAAGCCUGAUGCAGCAACGCCGCGUGAGUGAAGAAGGUUUUCGGAUUGUAAAGCUCUGUCUUUGGGGACGAUAAUGACGGUACCCAAGGAGGAAGCCACGGCUAACUACGUGCCAGCAGCCGCGGUAAUACGUAGGUGGCAAGCGUUGUCCGGAAUUACUGGGCGUAAAGAGUGCGUAGGCGGAUAUUUAAGUGAGAUGUGAAAUACCCGGGCUUAACCCGGGCACUGCAUUUCAAACUGGAUAUCUAGAGUGCAGGAGAGGAGAACGGAAUUCCUAGUGUAGCGGUGAAAUGCGUAGAUAUUAGAAGAACACCAGUGGCGAAAGCGGUUCUCUGGACUGUAACUGACGCUGAGCACGAAAGCGUGGGUAGCAAACAGGAUUAGAUACCCUGGUAGUCCACGCCGUAAACGAU
rnacentral:rRNA from 1 species